rnacentral:rRNA from 1 species
AUUGAACGCUGGCGGCAGGCUUAACACAUGCAAGUCGAGCGGAGAUGAGGUGCUUGCACCUUAUCUUAGCGGCGGACGGGUGAGUAAUGCUUAGGAAUCUGCCUAUUAGUGGGGGACAACAUUCCGAAAGGAAUGCUAGUACCGCAUACGCCCUACGGGGGAAAGCAGGGGAUCUUCGGACCUUGCGCUAAUAGAUGAGCCUAAGUCGGAUUAGCUAGUUGGUGGGGUAAAGGCCUACCAAGGCGACGAUCUGUAGCGGGUCUGAGAGGAUGAUCCGCCACACUGGGACUGAGACACGGCCCAGACUCCUACGGGAGGCAGCAGUGGGGAAUAUUGGAUAAUGGGCGGAAGCCUGAUCCAGCCAUGCCGCGUGUGUGAAGAAGGCCUUUUGGUUGUAAAGCACUUUAAGCGAGGAGGAGGCUACCUGGAUUAAUACUCUAGGAUAGUGGACGUUACUCGCAGAAUAAGCACCGGCUAACUCUGUGCCAGCAGCCGCCGUAAAAC